rnacentral:rRNA from 1 species
CUAGUCAAAUGCCUAGGACUUGGGUAUGUUAAUAUCCAUGCAUGUGAAAAUGAUUGCAUUCUAUUUUGGAAGAACAAUGCCAAUGCCAAUUCAUGCCCAGAAUGUAAGGCUUCAAGAUGGAAAUCUGAAAGGAAGAGUGCAGAUGGGAAACGUGUCCACAAGGUUCCUAAGAAGGUUCUUCGUUACUUUCCAAUAAAGAAGAGGCUUCAAAGGUUGUUUGUGUGUUCCAGAACUGCGGCUCUCACAAGAUGGCAUGCAGAAGAGCGCACACAAGAUGGCUUGAUUAGGCAUCCUAAAGAUUCCCUCCUUUGGAAAGAUUUUGAUGAAAAAAAUAAAGAUUUUGCAAAAGACAGCAGAAAUCUUAAGCUUGUAGUAUGUGCCAAUGGUUUUAAUCCAUUUAGAUCCAUGAAUCUCAGCUAUAGCAUUUGGCCAGUAUUAUUGAUUCCUUAUAACUUUCCACCCUGGAUGAUUAUGAAGCAAUCAAAUUUUAUCCUAUCACUGUUGAUUCCUGGCAGAAAUUCUCCUGGUAGUGAUAUUGAUGUCUAUCUUGAGCCACUAGUUGAUGAUAUGGUAGAUAUGUUUCUUGAUGGUGUUAGGACCUAUGAUGCUUCAACCAGAGAGUAUUUUCAGUUGCAUGCUGCCAUAAUAUGCACAAUUACGGAUAAACCGGGUCUUGGGUCUUUGGUUGCCUGU